rnacentral:rRNA from 1 species
GAUGAACGCUGGCGGCGUGCCUAAUACAUGCAAGUCGAGCGAACAGACGAGGAGCUUGCUCCUCUGACGUUAGCGGCGGACGGGUGAGUAACACGUGGAUAACCUACCUAUAAGACUGGGAUAACUUCGGGAAACCGGAUCUAAUACCGGAUAAUAUAUUGAACCGCAUGGUUCAAUAGUGAAAGACGGUUUUGCUGUCACUUAUAGAUGGAUCCGCGCCGCAUUAGCUAGUUGGUAAGGUAACGGCUUACCAAGGCAACGAUGCGUAGCCGACCUGAGAGGGUGAUCGGCCACACUGGAACUGAGACACGGUCCAGACUCCUACGGGAGGCAGCAGUAGGGUAUCUUCCGCAAUGGGCGAGAGCCUGACGGAGCAACGCCGCGUGAGUGAUGACGGUCUUCGGAUCGUAAAACUCUGUUAUUAGGGAAGAACAAAUGUGUAAGUAACUAUGCACGUCUUGACGGUACCUAAUCAGAAAGCCACGGCUAACUACGUG